UACGUAGGGUGCAAGCGUUAAUCGGAAUCACUGGGCGUAAAGGGUGCGUAGGCGGGUCUUUUAAGUCAGAGGUGAAAUCCUGGAGCUCAACUCCAGAACUGCCUUUGAUACUGAGGAUCUUGAGUUCGGGAGAGGUGAGUGGAACUGCGAGUGUAGAGGUGAAAUUCGUAGAUAUUCGCAAGAACACCAGUGGCGAAGGCGGCUCACUGGCCCGAUACUGACGCUGAGGCACGAAAGCGUGGGGAGCAAACAGGG
rnacentral:rRNA from 1 species